rnacentral:rRNA from 1 species
GACGAACGCUGGCGGCGUGCUUAACACAUGCAAGUCGAACGAAGUGGCGAACGGGUGAGUAAUACGUGGGUAACCUGCCCUUCAGAGGGGGACAACAGUUGGAAACGACUGCUAAUACCGCAUACUGAAGGAGGGGAUUGCGUCUGAUUAGCUAGUUGGAGGGGUAACGGCCAACCAAGGCGAUGAUCAGUAGCCGGUCUGAGAGGAUGAACGGCCAAACUGGGACUGAGACACGGCCCAGACUCCUACGGGAGGCAGCAGUAGGGAAUCUUCGGCAAUGGGGGGAACCCUGACCGAGCAACGCCGCGUGAGUGAAGAAGGUUUUCGGAUCGUAAAGCUCUGUUGUUAAGGAAGCGGUACUUAACCAGAAAGGGACGGCUAACUACGUGCCAGCAGCCGCGGUAAUAC